GUUAGCCUCUUGUAUUAAGCAUGUCGAUCAGUAAUACAUUAAUUUAAUUAUGAUCACUGAAAUUGAAGAUAUCGGAAGUAAACAUAAUGUGAGAGGUCAAUUGUUUUAGAAUAUUUAGCAACUUUACCAAAAAAUGCAAAUGCAAAGGAUGCAUGCACUGCAUACAUGAAAAUGUAAAACAUAUUACGUUACUUGAAUUGUGUCACCUUGGGCGAGAGUACCAAAAUAGGAUUCAGAUAUAAAAUUAAACAAAUACGUAAUUUCAAUUGUUCGUUUGUUCAUUUUAUCUAUCUAAUUGUAAUGAAUUAUCAAUAACAAUUUGUAAAACUAAAAAUAAAGAUUGUGAUAAAUGCUUGUUUCAAUUUAACCCAUAUGAUCAAAUAACAAGUAUGGUCAGCUCGUACUGGACCGUACGCGUAUACUCAUACGGUCCGACCGUACGCGUAUGGUCGGACCAUACGAGUAUACGUAUACGGUCCGGAC
rnacentral:lncRNA from 1 species